GAUGAACGCUAGCUACAGGCUUAACACAUGCAAGUCGAGGGGAAACGGCAUUAAGUGCUUGCACUUUUUGGACGUCGACCGGCGCACGGGUGAGUAACGCGUAUCCAACCUUCCCAUGACUAAGGGAUAACCUGCCGAAAGGCAGACUAAUACCUUAUGGUCUUCACUGACGGCAUCAGAUGUGAAGUAAAGAUUUAUCGGUUAUGGAUGGGGAUGCGUCUGAUUAGCUUGUUGGCGGGGUAACGGCCCACCAAGGCAACGAUCAGUAGGGGUUCUGAGAGGAAGGUCCCCCACAUUGGAACUGAGACACGGUCCAAACUCCUACGGGAGGCAGCAGUGAGGAAUAGUGGUCAAUGGGCGAGAGCCUGAACCAGCCAAGUAGCGUGCAGGAUGACGGCCCUAUGGGUGGUAAACUGCUUUUGUAUGGGGAUAAAGUCAAUCACGUGUGAUUGUUUGCAGGUACCAUACGAAUAAGGACCGGCUAAUUCCGUG
rnacentral:rRNA from 1 species